rnacentral:rRNA from 1 species
UACGUAGGGAGCAAGCGUUAUCCGGAUUUAUUGGGUGUAAAGGGUGCGUAGACGGGAAGGCAAGUUGGUUGUGAAAUCCCUCGGCUUAACUGAGGAACUGCAACCAAAACUAUCUUUCUUGAGUGCUGGAGAGGAAAGUGGAAUUCCUAGUGUAGCGGUGAAAUGCGUAGAUAUAUGGAAGAACACCGGUGGCGAAGGCGGCUUGCUGGGCCUGUACUGACAUUGAGGCACGAAAGCGUGGGGAGCAAACAGG